UACGUAGGGUGCAAGCGUUGUCCGGAAUUAUUGGGCGUAAAGAGCUCGUAGGCGGUUUGUCGCGUCGAAUGUGAAAUCCCGGGGCUCAACCCCGGGCCUGCAUUCGAUACGGGCAUCACUGGAGUUCGGCAGGGGAGACUGGAAUUCCUGGUGUAGCGGUGAAAUGCGCAGAUAUCAGGAGGAACACCGGUGGCGAAGGCGGGUCUCUGGGCCGAUACUAACGCUGAGGAGCGAAAGCGUGGGGAGCAAACAGG
rnacentral:rRNA from 1 species